rnacentral:tRNA from 2 species
GGUAGCGUGUCCGAGCGGCCGAAGGAGCACGCCUCGAAAGCGUGUGAGGGGGCAACUCCUCCGUGGGUUCAAAUCCCACCGCUACCGCCA